GAUGAACGCUAGCGACAGGCUUAACACAUGCAAGUCGAGGGGCAGCGAGGGCGUAGCAAUACGCCUGUCGGCGACCGGCGCACUGGUGAGUAACACGUAUGCGACCUGCCCCCUACAGGGGUAUAACCCGUAGAAAUGCGGACUAAUCCCCCAUAGUCCUGGAGGCUGCAUGGCUUUCAGGGGAAAGGUCAGCCGGUAGGGGAUGGGCAUGCGGCGCAUUAGCUAGUUGGCGGGGCAACGGCCCACCAAGGCGACGAUGCGUAGGGGUUCUGAGAGGAAGGUCCCCCCACAUUGGAACUGAGACACGGUCCAAACUCCUACGGGAGGCAGCAGUGAGGAAUAUUGGUCAAUGGGCGAGAGCCUGAACCAGCCAAGUAGCGUGCAGGACGACGGCCCUAUGGGUUGUAAACUGCUUUUGUGCGGGGAUAAAGUGUGGGACGUGUCCCAUAUUGCAGGUACCGCAUGAAUAAGGACCGGCUAAUUCCGUGCCAGCAGCCG
rnacentral:rRNA from 1 species